rnacentral:rRNA from 1 species
UACGGGGGGGGCAAGCGUUGUUCGGAAUUACUGGGCGUAAAGGGCUCGUAGGUGGCCAACUAAGUCAGACGUGAAAUCCCUCAGCUUAACUGGGGAACUGCGUCUGAUACUGGAUGGCUUGAGUUUGGGAGAGGGACGCGGAAUUCCAGGUGUAGCGGUGAAAUGCGUAGAUAUCUGGAGGAACAUCUGUGGCGAAGGCGACUGCCUGGACCAGCACUGACACUGAGGCACGAAAGCGUGGGGAGCAAACAGG